rnacentral:lncRNA from 1 species
AAUGAAUAUCUGAAGCUCACAUAAGCAAAAAAAAAGGAACGUCCUUCAUACAACCAUUCGUAAUCGAUUAGCAUCACCUGCAAUCGGUACGAGAGAUGUUAAUACUUUGCUAUUAUUAUUACAAUAAAUUUAGUUUUAUCGUAUUAUUAAUUAGAAAUGAUAGUAUAAGAAGCAGUUGUUAUUGAUUUUGACUUCAUCAGUAGGUAGUAAAGAAAGGAUAAUGACCGCAUAUAGAGGGAGCCAGUCAUCACUUAACUCCCUAGCAUUUUCUCUACAGUCGUCCACACUGCUAGACAACCGUCUUUGCCUGGCGUCGCGUUGUCCCGCCAGUUCUAGUAAUGUUGCUGGACAGUUCUGUCACCGAAUACAUCGUAUGAUCGGUAAGUCAACGUACACUUUAUUAAUUAGCUUUGUAAUUCUGUGCAAAACCGGGAAGUGUAGGUGUAACUUGCUUUGUUGACACGAAACAGGAAUUCUACUCUGCUAGCUGCUUUAAUAACCGAAAGCUUUUUUAUUUUUAUGUAGUACGCUGUUACGAAAUUAUUAUUUAACUUUCGCUGACGCGGUUUUAUUAUUAAACCGAUCAAUCGAUUAAAUGCGCUAUUUCGAAAUCGAUAUUUUUAACUAUUUCGUAUCGAAGAUGAGAUGCUUUUUUCCCCCACUUGCAGUUUUCUCGCUUAUGAAGUUGCAUUUAUAAGAAUCUAGAAAAGGAUUUUUUUUUUCUUUCUUUCUGAUCGAACGGAUUCGAAAUAUUCGGUGUGUCACGUUUGGUCAGUCAUUCAUAUCAAACAAAUAUCCUGUGCAUAAUGAAAACUUCGUUCUCUAUUCUCCUUAACUAGUUAAUGCGAAAUUUAUUAUGAAAU